GGAGUUGACUAGACAGUCGCCGCUUUACCUCAAUCCUCUCCGGAGAGAAGUGGUAGAGGGGAGGAAAGUCCGGGCUCCACAGAGCGGGGUGCCAGGUAAUUCCUGGGGGCUUAAGCCCACGACAAGUGCAGCAGAGAGUAGACCGCCGAUGGCUCGCGUAAGCGAGAUCAGGUAAGGGUGAAAGGGUGCGGUAAGAGCGCACCGCGCAGCUGGCAACAGCUUGUGGCAAGGUAAACUCCACCCGGAGCAAGGCCAAAUAGGGGUUCACAUGGUGCGGCUCGUACUGAACCCGGGUAGGCUGCUUGAGCUAGUGAGCGAUUGCUGGCCCAGAUGAAUGACUGUCCACGACAGGACCCGGCUUACCGGUUGACUCCCCUA
rnacentral:RNase_P_RNA from 1 species